rnacentral:lncRNA from 10 species
AAUUAUUCAUAUGCAAAUUAGGUUAAAACAUUUCUCCAACUAUUCUUUCCUCCAACUGGUAUUCUUUCCUGUAAUCUCCUUUCCUUGUUAAAAGAAAAAUCCUGCUCACAGUAAGCCUAGAGCUUUUACAGAAGUCUAUACUCAGGCAAUAGUGCUGAGAUUUUUCUAAGAUAAGAAAUUAAAAGCCACAACUCCAAUAAAGCAGGGAGUCUGGGUUAUACAUUAUUGGUUGUUAUUGUUGUUUUUGAGUUGAGUUAUGCUUUGUACCGUUUUGUUUGGCUUGCUUUUCUAAUAAAGUGGGAAAGUCUUUAAGAAAAUAAGAAAAAUAAACCACGUGAACUAAAAUGAUCUGUCAGUGAUACUCGGGAAAAGGGAGGGUUAAAAUAAUAAUUUAACUAGAGGCCAAAAGAUUACAAACUCUUCUAAGUCUUCUAAUAUUUAUAUUGACAUAGGGCAUGAGUAUUCUAAAAAGCAGCCUAUUGUGAAACAGUCAAGACUUCUUGCAGUAUUUUCAUGGAAUAUCCCCCUAAAUUCCCAUCUGCCUGUGCAGAAGGCCAAAGACGACAUACAACGUAUGAUUAAGGAUAACUGAGUGUUCAAACUACUUUGGAGUUGGCAAGGAGCGGAGUUCAUUAAUGGUUGAAUUAAAUGGUUGAAUUAAAUAUUUGAGGCAAAUGGUUGAAUUAAAUAUUUGAGGCAAGAAAAUGAUCUGACCAAGUCCUCAGAAAACAUUAUACCAAGUUGAAUGACUUGAGCCUUUUACAUGUUUGAAGUCAAACAGAAUACCAAGUUCUUGAGGCUCUUAUAACUAGAUGGACAUUGACUGAUAAUGCCACAGCAUAUGCUGUAUUUUCUUUCCAAUAUCUAGUUGAUAUUACACUUUCAGAAGAGACAGCAUCUAAUCGUUCCUCUUCCACCUUCCUACCUGCCUUUAAGAUACACCUAAGUGGACAAAUAUAGGGUUGACUUAAUCAAUUUGGUGCCAAUUUCAUAACAUUCUCUUGAGUCAAGAUCAAAGUAGAAAUAUGGAUUUUGUUGUGUUUUAAUAAGCAUCAGAAAGAGUGAGACUACAAUUCUUUCCAGACCCUCUUUAGCCAACUUCCGGAAAGUCUCCCUUUUACUUUUUUAAACCUUCCUGGCCUUUCCCAGAAGUUUUUCAAGGUUGAGUUAGAGACAAAAACUGAAAAGAUUCAGUUCCAAUGGCUUCUUUUCUGACAUCCACACUCAGUUUGCUCGUCUUUAUCACUGUGGACAAGAAUAAUUGCUUAGGAAAAAAAAUCAAAUUAGGACCCAAAUUAAAAAUAUAUUUAUAAACAGUAAUUACACUGUGCGAAUAGUUUCAAGAAACUUGAGUAACAUAGUAUCAUAUUGGAUCUCAGGAGAGAAGAAAUACUGGAUCUUUUUUCCCAAGACGUAUGAGAGAAAAUAGGAAAAUAAAGACAAUGGAAGACCAGUUCUCGAGAUCAUUUUCAAUCUGGCUUUGCCUAUCUGUCUGUGGUCCUCAACACGGCAUCAGUAUACUUCUCUCCAUCUGCAACUUUACCAGAACAACAUAAUAAUGCUACCAUUAAUACUUUGUCCAAGACACUGUGCUAAAUUAGCAAUAAAUAUAUAUUUACUUUAAUCUCCACAGAAACCUGAUGAUUGGUUGUAAUUAUCCUCAUUUCACAGAUGAUAAAAUAGAGGCUGAGAGGCAAUUAUUAGCUUGCAAAGGUCCUAGUAAGGCCAGUUGUCCACUACACUACCCUGCUUCCACAGCAUCCCAAAGCCCUUGAAUCUUGUAAACUUCUUGUACAUUUGCUAUAAUCAACUGUUGAUAAGGAGAGGUUUUAGCCAAAGGAGGCAAGUUUUACAAAUCUGAGAACAAUACAAAUGACUGAGUAAAAUGGUUAAAUCAUCAAAUCCCAAAUUGCUACCUUCAGAUUGCUGUGAUUCUUGAGCUAAAAUAGUUUUGCAGAGGGGGGACUCUUAAGCUAAAACCCAAAUAGGAAAUUUUACUUUUUCCAAAGGAACCCUGGGAAUAUAGCCCUUCUACCACCCUAUGGUAGGAGAGCAAGUGAGACAGCAAGACUAAGAGUGAGAGCAAGUGAAAGAGAAAGGAUGCGUGCCAGGGUACCUUGGAAUGAUAGCAUAUCUUAUAAUGUACAUUACAUGUUCACCAUGCUCUGUCCAUUAGAGGAUGGCUAACCUCUUUGCUUCCAGCUUUACCAAAGGCUGUGUAGUAAUACAGAGAAACAAAAAUAGCAGAGGCUAUAGAAAUGACCAAAACAACUGUAAACAUAUUAAAGUCUCAGAACUAUGGCUUUAUUAUUGCAAACUGUUGCAUGUUCCAGCUCCUGUGGCCCAUGUUCAUAAAAGCAAACAUAAUGCAAGCAAUACAAAUAAUACUAUUUAUAAAAGAGUAUUGAUAUGGGAAUAUGCUAAGUAAAAGAAAGCAAGCUACAAAAUAAUGUGAUUUCUAUUUUUAAUCCACACACACACAAAUAUUUGUACAUACAUAGAAAGUGAAGUACAUAUACUAAUGUGUUAAAGGACUUUUGAUAAAGCAGGAAGAUUUUUUUUGUUUGAGCAUUAGAACUUUCUUCAUUUUCCAGUGUUUAAACACUGAACAUUUGAUUUUUUUAAAAAGUAUUAAAUGAAAUAUUCACCUAAAGACAUAGGUAGAUUAUAACAAUUCAGUGUUUAAUACCUAAACAACAAACAAAUGCAGGACAUGAACCCAAUGCAGAGCACAGACGAAAAUUAGCAAGUAACGUAAGAAAAGGAUAAAGAAAUAAGAGAAGAUCUAAACAGAUCAAAGAGGAAGACAUUUCUGUAAAUGUAAUCUAGCUAAAUAUUUCAUUAUUCCCUUAAGAGGAGGAAUGAAUUAAAGACCCAAACCGUGGAUUGAGCAACAUGAUGGACUAGAAGCCCCUAUUGCCUAUGCCCUCCCCACAAAGACAGCCAAAACAAUGAAUAACAAAUUACAUUUUGAUGACAAUAACUAGAAUGUUGAGGUACACUAAAAAAGUAACAGAAACGCUGGUAAGCAAAGAAACUUAGGAUAGCCACAUAGAGAACAGAAGGAAAUACCUGGCCUCUACCUCCCAUUCUCCAGCCAGGAUCAGCUGGGGACCAGAAGGAAUUUCUCCUUGUAGGGAAAAGGCAAACAAGAAGAUUCCAGCAGCCCCCAUCAACAAUACCUAAAGUCAUUCACCACUGGGGACUCCUGCAGUCCUCACAAGCACUAAGCCCAGUUGAAGGAGCUGCCUGGAUUCCAUAUAGCUGUGCUUCCCCGAGAGAAGGAGCUGACAUCAUGUUCCAGCUCCUGUGGCCCAUGUAGCUACUUUACUGUACCUUCACAGAACUAGAACUACUGUUGGAGUAUCUUAUUGUGGGGACAAGUGGCCACAGCACCCUUUCCCCUGACACUAACCACCACCAAACCACUCCCACUCAGUGACUCAACAUCCCCAAGCAGAGCUGGGAGCAGCUGUUACGCCCUUCCCUGUGCGGCCAAGCAGUGGCAGAACCACUCCGCCUACCCUUCACAGUUGUGGCUGUGCCCUACUCCCUCACACUGGAGCUGAAACUUUGCACUCCCUCCUGGAGAAAUGGUGCUUGACAGAGCAGUUCCAUCAACCCUUUCCUAGUCACUGCUAUGUCCUGACCCUAGGGGCCUGAGCUUAAUCUGUACACUGCCUCCUGAGGAAACUAUGCCUUCUCAGAAUAGCUCUGAAAGCUCCUUCCAAUCACCCCUGCGCCCAGUCCCAUUAGACUGAAGCUGAAGCUGUAUACUGCCUCCUAGGGAAAUGGUGCUUUGGUGGAGCAGCUCUGCAUAUACUUCUCAGUUCUACACCUGCCCUCCUGUACUAGGGCUGAAGCAACACUUGGCAUCCUAGGAAUAGUGCUUUGGCCACCCAGAGGAGUUGCAUCUUUCUGUGCCUGAGUGGAAGUGGUACCCUGCCCCUUAAGAAAGCUAUAUAUUGGUUGCCCAGAGCAGUCAUGCCUUCCCAGUGCCUAAUUUGAAGCAGCACCUUACUUCCUGAAAAACAGUGCCUAAGUCAUCCAGAGUGGUAAUGUACCCCAGUAUCUAAACUGAAGCAGCACCCUGCAUCCCGAGGAAACAGUGCCUGGUCCAUCUAGAGCAAUCACACACCCCAGGCCUGAGCUAAAGUAGCACAUUAUCCCCUGGGGAAUCAGUGCUUUGGCUGAGCUGAACAAAUCCAUAUCCCUGGGCUGAGCUGACAUAUCACCCUACACCCUAGGGAAGAAAAGCAGUGGAUGAGCUAAGACACCCUAUCCUACAGGCCAAAUAAUUUUAGUACCUUGCUUCCUGGAGCAGAAUUAGCCCUCUAGAAUCUGAAUUGCUCAGAUAUUCCUCUCCUGGGGGAGUUGAGUCAUUGAUGUGCUGCUCCCUGACCCCCAGGGAUCAAAUGACAGCCAUUUGGUCGGCCAUUCUGUGCUCUGCCAUUCUGAGGUAUUCACUACCACUGCGCCUAGCCUCAUAUAAUCUGAGAUACUGCUAAGUCCUACCAUCCUGAAGUCAUGGUGCCUCAUCCCCUAAGGCCUGAGUUGCCCUAUUAGCUUUGGUUUCCAAAAUGCUGCCAUAUCCCGCUUCCUGGGCCUAAACCUCCUGGAGGUUUGGAGAGCAUCCCUUCUUCCUAAAAAAGAGCCAGUGCUGUACCCUGCUCCCCAAGGAUGGAAUCACAACUAAAACCCAGCCCCCAAGGCCCAAGUUUUAAGGGAUGUUUCAGAGUCACUGAUCCUGCAUCUGUGGGCAAUCAACAUCAACAUCCAACCCUGCCACAGAAAGUGAACCUGUAACCCCAAGAUCCAAGUGUCACAAUAUGUUGACGAGACCCUGAACCUAGAACCCUAGGUCCAAAGCCACUGAGCACCUGCAUCUGGAACCCAAUGGCACUGCAACUGCUUGUAGGCUGUGUCAGACCCAAUACCAAGAGGGAUCCCCUAAGCUAAGUCUCCCUAUUAUGGGGAAAACAAGAAUAGAAACCUUUGGCCAUCAAGAACAUUAACAAACUACACCACCACUGCUGUGUCACAAAAUUCUAUAGCCUUGGUCACUGAGGCACUCACAAUUAUCACUGGAAUUGGUCACAGAUGAAGCUGCACAGAGACUAUGCCACUACAUCUAUUCAGAACCAGAGUCACUACACCCUUCUCAACCAGAAUACAAGGCCCCAAAUGCAGGUGAAAGUCUUCCCCUACCAAAGCCACUAUAAAAUUUGAAAGAGGUGAUUGUUCCACCAUAUAAACAGAUAUCAACAGAGAGACACGGGAAAUAUUAAAAAAAAAAACAAAUAAAACACCACCAAAAGAACACAAUAACACUCCAGUAGCAGACAACAACAAAAAAAAAAAAAAAAAAAAAAAAAAAAGAAAAUCUACAAAUUGCAAGAAAAGAAAUUUGAAAUUAUAAUGUAAAGGAAAAAGCUCAGGAAAACAAUUUACAAUAUAAAUGAGAAAUUUCACAAAGAGAUGGAAAUCAUAAAAAAGAACCAAAUGGAUAUCAUGCAGCUGAAGAAAUCAAUUAAUAAAAGAUACAAUAAAGAGCAUCAAUAGCAGGCUAGAUAAAGCAGAAGAAAGAAUCUCUGAACUUGAAACAUGUCAUUUGAAAUUAUUCAGUCAGAUUUUUAAAAAGUAAAAAUGAAAAAGAAUGAAGAAAUCCUGCAGGACUUAUGGAACACCAUUAAGCAAAUAAAUAUUUGCAUUAUGGCAUUAGAAAAGGAGAAGAGAUGGGAAAAGGUGUGGAAAACCUAGAUGUUUAAUUAUAUAAUAGCUGAAAACUUUCCAUGUCUUUCCCAUAUGGAAGAGAUAUGUAUAUCCAUAUCCAGAAAGCUCAAAUGUACCAAAUAGAGUCAACACAAAAAGAUCCUCUCUGAGGCACAACAUAGCCAAAUUGUCAAAAGCCAAAGAAAAAUAGAGAAUUCUAAAAACAAAAGCAUGAAGUCACAUAUAAGGGAAUCCCAACUGGACUAAUAGAUUUCUCAGCAGAAAAUUUACCGGCCAGGAGAAUCAGAUUAUAUAUUCAAAGUACAGAAAGAAAAAUAAAUUUGUUGGUCAAGAAUACUAUACCCAGUGAAGUGAUCUGUCAGAACUGAGAAGGAAAUGAAGUAUUUCCCAGACAAGCAAAAACUGAGAAAAUCGAACACCAUUAGACCUGCCUUACAAGAAAUGUUCAAGGGAGUGGUACAUCUGGAAGCAAAAAGAUGAUAGCCACCAUGAUGAAAGCACGUAAAAUGAUAAAACAUUCAUAAAGGAGACACAAAAAGGAGAAAGAGAAAGGAAUCAAGGCUUAUCACUACAGAAAAACAACAAAACUGUAAUGAUAAACAAUAAGAGAAGGAGAAAGGAACAAAAGAUACAUGAAAAAUAAAAACAGAAAACAAUCAACAAAAUGACAGGAAUAAGUCCUCACAUAUCAAUUAAAACCUUCAAUGUUAAUGAAUUAAAUUCUCCACAUAAAAAACACAGAGUAGCUGAAUAGAUAAAAACCAAGACCCAGCUAUGUGCUGUCUCCAAAAGGCUCAUACUAUCUGUAAAGACACACAUAGACUGAAAGUGAAGAGAUGCAAAAAGAUAUUCAACAGAAACAGAAACCAAAACCAAGCAGGAGUAGCUAUAACUUACAUCAGACAAAACAGAAUUUAAGUCAAAAACAGUCAAAAGAGACAAAAAAGAUCACUAUAUAAUGAUAAAG